AGUCGUUCCUCUGCAGUUGCCAAAUCCUUGCUGAGGAUCUGGCCUCUUAUGUUUUUCCAGCCUGCUCCUUCCUUAUAAAUAUUCCUCUUUUUUUUUUUCCCCCCUAUCUUCAGUGUUUCUCCAUCUUCCAGUUUUGCCGAGAGAGACCAGCAGAAAAAUAAGAAGUGGAUUACUAAGGAUUCAUUGGCAUCUCAAAUCCAGCUCCUCUGGUUUUCUGAAGAGCCGAGCGAACCUGUCAGAGUGUAUGUAACUGGUGCUCUUCCUUUCUGCUCCUUUUUAAGAUGCGACGCUCAGCCCCAAACAGAUGGGAACCUGUCAGCACAGCACGGGGAUAAUUACCCGUUCGAGCCACGGGAAGCUUCGUAACGGGUCUGGAGGCUGGCGGAGUGAAAAUUCCUGCUGCAGCAAAGCGGAGUCGUGGAUAUAACCCUCAUGAGCAGGCACCAGGAAGCCAGUAGGCAUCGGCAACAUUACCGUUGGGCUUUCUGGAAUUUAAUAGAAAACCUCUUCUCUUCCACUACAAAAGAUUGCUCCCUGCUGACUCGCGAGCUUCCCAGGUGUGAACUUCAAGGGUCCAGAGCUAGACCUCAUAGCGAAAGGUAGGACUGAAUACUUAUUUUUCUUCUUCUCCUCGAGACACAGCAUCUAAGCGCGUUGCUUCUCCAGUGGGAGCUGCUGGUUGAAUCCAGACCUUCAGCUCAGAGCACAGACGUUACUAUGGGCAGUGACUUCUCCAUCUCCUCUACCACAAGGUCUUGAAGAUGAUGGAUUGGAGCUGUUAACCUGACAAACCCAAACCCUAUUCCUCGGUAGAAGACAGACCAAACAUCUGUCACACAGCUACAGAAUAGCCUGGUUUGAUUUGUUUCUUUCCUUAAAGGAAAAAUAGAAAAAAGAAAAAAAAAAAAAGCCUUUUUUUACUCCAGGCAUUCAGAACUUGGCAUCUCCCCUGAAGUGCAGGUAUUUUAUGUAUCUCAGCCGUUUCUGUGCUACAGCACGUGGGUGGUGUUAUUCUCCACCUGAGUAUCUGAUCCUCUUCUGAAUCCUUCCAAGAUCCUGGCGGCAGUAACACCGCAGUGAUUUAUACAGCUCAAUCGCACUCUAUAGAAAGUCUGUUUUCUUUUAAAUCCGCAGCAUUUCAGAACUGCUGGAUGUUACCUAAGCAGGUCUAGGGGCUGCAGGGGAAGAGGAGUACCCAAAUCUUGCUGUUAAUGGGUAUGCAUGUUCAGAAAACCGGUAAAAACAAGGCCGUUAUUUGAAAAGAGUUAAAUCGAGAGAAAAUUCCUUCCCAGCUCAUAACCAUUUCAGCAGGGAUCAGGUCCUGGGCAAAAACUAGACAACAGCAUCCCUUUGAAUUCUUUCUUACUUCAAGGAAAUGGGGGGGGAAAAAACCAACCUUCCAGUUGAAAGCUUUAUUUGGGAAUAAAGUUUAUCUUCAACAUAUGUCUAAAGAGAGA
rnacentral:lncRNA from 1 species